CCAAAUCUGAAAUUAUCUUUUCAAAUCCCCAAUUAUUUUCCUAUAAUCAAUUCAUCCGAAUCCCCUUUAUUGAAUAAAAAAAUUCUCUGAUAGGGGUAGGAAGUAGGGCUUGGAGAAAUUGGGUGAAAUAGGAGAAUACUUUUGGGGAAAACAAAAGAGGUAAGAUAAGAGGGAUUUUGGUGCAAACAUAAUGAAGAAAUUAAGAGAGAACUCCAUCUUGAUUUUCUG
rnacentral:lncRNA from 1 species